UUGGAGGGCAAGUCUGGUGCCAGCAGCCGCGGUAAUUCCAGCUCCAAUAGCGUAUAUUAAAGUUGUUGCAGUUAAAAAGCUCGUAGUUGAAUUUCGGGAUCAAUACGUCGGUCGUGCUUUUUUGGUACGCACUGGCGUCAUUGGUUUCUCCUUUCUGACGAACCAUGAUGUCAUUAAUUUGGUGUUAUGGGGAGUUAGGACUGUUACUUUGAAAAAAUUAGAGUGUUUAAAGCAGGCAUUAGCUUGAAUACAUUAGCAUGGAAUAAUGAAAUAGGACGUUCGAUCCUAUUUUGUUGGUUUCUAGGAUCAACGUAAUGAUUAAUAGGGAUAGUUGGGGGCAUUAGUAUUCAAUUGUCAGAGGUGAAAUUCUUGGAUUUAUUGAAGACUAACUACUGCGAAAGCAUUUGCUAAGGAUGUUUUCAUUAAUCAAGAACGAAAGUUAGGGGAUCGAAGACGAUCAGAUACCGUCGUAGUCUUAACCAUAAACUAUGCCGACUAGGGAUCGGAUGAUGUUAAUUUUUUAAUGACUCAUUCGGCGCCUUACGGGAAAC
rnacentral:rRNA from 1 species